rnacentral:rRNA from 1 species
AUUAGCUAGUUGGUGAGGUAAUGGCUCACCAAGGCGACGAUCCCUAGCUGGUCUGAGAGGAUGAUCAGCCACACUGGAACUGAGACACGGUCCAGACUCCUACGGGAGGCAGCAGUGGGGAAUAUUGCACAAUGGGCGCAAGCCUGAUGCAGCCAUGCCGCGUGUGUGAAGAAGGCCUUCGGGUUGUAAAGCACUUUCAGCAGUGAGGAAGGCGGGUACGUUAAUAGCCGUGUUGUUUGACGUUAGCUGCAGAAGAAGCACCGGCUAACUCCGUGCCAGCAGCCGCGGUAAUACGGAGGGUGCGAGCGUUAAUCGGAAUUACUGGGCGUAAAGCGCAUGCAGGUGGUUCGUUAAGUCAGAUGUGAAAGCCCGGGGCUCAACCUCGGAACUGCAUUUGAAACUGGCGGACUAGAGUACUGUAGAGGGGGGUAGAAUUUCAGGUGUAGCGGUGAAAUGCGUAGAGAUCUGAAGGAAUACCGGUGGCGAAGGCGGCCCCCUGGACAGAUACUGACACUCAGAUGCGAAAGCGUGGGGAGCAAACAGGAUUAGAUACCC